AUGCUACCCGCCGGGAAGACCACGCCGUCGUCAGGCACCUCUCUCGUGCUGGCCGGCAACAAGGCAGCGUCGGCGUCGCCUUCGAUGGUCUUCGCCAAGCAAGCGCCGGCCGGCGGUCUGGUGCUUGCCGUGGACGGCAAGCGCUCGGUGGCCACGCUCGCUCCCGUCCAGGGACGCGGCCCCGCCUUCUCCGACGACGACCGCAAGCCCAAGGGGUUCUCGGCGGAGAAGAUCAAGACCAUGGCAGAGGAAACGUCCUCUCUGCUGCGGGGCCUCUGCGUUCCAAAGCAGAGCAGCAUCGCCGAGCAAGUUUGCUUCUCCAAAGAAGUCGAGGCCCUCCAGAAGGCGUGCGACGGGAUGGUCGCCGGAGCACCCUUCGACGAAGAUGAGGCCAUAAACAUGCUGAUCGGCGUGCAAGCUCGUAUCCGUCUCCUCCUGCUCCCCUCUGACAACAAGCAGACCCCCCAGGAAUUCCUCAUCUCCUCCAUGGGUGAGAACAAGGCCUCGGUGGAGGAGUACAUGUCUGUGGAGGACAAGAUCACGGGUGAAGCUGAGGGAAGGACCAGCCUGUACGAGAUGGUGAAGAAAUCCUCACUCGUCGAGCCCACGCCCACCGUGUGCUCGGACGAUGAGGUGAAGGCCGUGCUCCACAAGACUCACGCUCCUCGAGUCUUCUGGCCCGGCGCACUCAACGACCGGCAUGGCCGGCCUGUUCUACAAGGUGCGUUCUAA
rnacentral:rRNA from 1 species